rnacentral:rRNA from 1 species
GACAGAGGGUGCAACCGUUGUUCGGAAUUACUGGGCGUAAAGCGCGUGUAGGCUGCUUCGCAAGUCGGAUGUGAAAGCCCUGGGCUCAACCCAGGAAGUGCAUUCGAAACUGCAGAGCUGGAGUCUUGGAGAGGAAGGCGGAAUUCUCGGUGUAGAGGUGAAAUUCGUAGAUAUCGAGAGGAACACCGGUGGCGAAGGCGGCCUUCUGGACAGUGACUGACGCUGAGACGCGAAAGCGUGGGGAGCAAACAGG